UACAUGGGGUGCAAACGUUGCUCGGAAUUAUUGGGCGUAAAGCGCGCGUAGGCGGUUAUCUAAGUCGGAUGUGAAAGCCCUGGGCUCAACCUGGGAACUGCAGUGGAUACUGAGAAGCUAGAGUGUGUCAGAGGAUGGUGGAAUUCCCGGUGUAGCGGUGAAAUGCGUAGAGAUCGGGAGGAACAUCAGUGGCGAAGGCGGCCAUCUGGGACAACACUGACGCUGAGGCACGAAAGCGUGGGGAGCGAACAGG
rnacentral:rRNA from 1 species